GAUGAACGCUGGCGGCGUGCCUAAUACAUGCAAGUCGAGCGAACAGACGAGGAUCUUGCUCCUCUGACGUUAUCGGCGGACGGGUGAGUAACACGUGAAUAACCAACCUAUAAGACUGGGAUAACUUCGGGAAACCGGAGCUAAUACCGGAUAAUAUAUUGAACCGCAUGGUUCAAUAGUGGAAGGCGGUUGUUCUGUCACUUGUAGAUGGUGCCGCGCCGCAUUAGCUAGUUGGUAAGGUAACGGCUUCCCAAGGCAACGAUGCGUAGCCGACCUGAGAGGGUGAUCGGCCACACUGGAACUGGGACAGGGUCCAGGCUCCUACGGGAGGCAGCAGUAGGGAAUCUUCAGCAAUGGGCGAAAGCCGGACGGAGCAGCGGCGAGGGAGUGAUGAAGGUCUUCGGAUCGUAAAACUCUGUUAUUAGGGAAGACCAAAUGUGUAAGUAAGUAUGCACGUCUUGACGGUACCUAAUCAGAAAGCAACGGCUAACUACGUG
rnacentral:rRNA from 1 species